UACGUAGGGGGGCAAGCGUUGUCCGGAAUCAUUGGGCGUAAAGAGCGUGUAGGCGGCUUGAUAAGUCCGCUGUGAAAGUCCAGGGCUCAACCCUGGAAUGCCGGUGGAAACUGUCAAGCUUGAGUCCGGAAGAGGCGAGUGGAAUUCCUGGUGUAGCGGUGAAAUGCGCAGAUAUCAGGAGGAACACCAAUGGCGAAGGCAGCUCGCUGGGACGGUACUGACGCUGAGACGCGAAAGCGUGGGGAGCAAACAGG
rnacentral:rRNA from 1 species